CUUCGGCUGGACGCCAUUAUAGUGGUUGUAGUCUGAUGUGUUGUGUAGUAGCCGGCCGCGGUGGUCUAGCGGUUCUAGGCGCGCAGUCCGGAACCGCGCGACUGCUACGGUCGCAGGUUCGAAUCCUGCCUCGGGCAUGGAUGUGUGUGAUGUCCUUAGGUUAGUUAGGUUUAAGUAGUUCGAAGUUCUAGGGGACUGCUGACCUCAGAUGUUAAGUCCCAUAGUGCUCAGAGCCAUUUGUUGUGUAGUAUUGUUGUUUAUGAAGACCCUGAUUCAACGUUGUAUAUUUGUUGGGGCAUACAUACAGUAUUUGUUACUCGUAAUUCUACUGUCUGUACGUUCCAAUCAAAAUAAGUACAAUGGUGAAGAGUUGUGCAGCGAUUAAUUGUACAAAUAAAUUCGAGAAAGGAACGAAUAUUACAUUUCACAGUCGACCACUCGUGCGGUUGUUGGGGGGCCUGGUGUCGACAGCAGCAGGAGGGGGUUGGGCUACAAGGCCUAUAAGAACGCCAUAACCCGCACUCCUGACAGUUCACCUGCCCCACAGCAGCUGCUAUGGCGCGCCACUUGCUCGUGCUUCUACUGGUAGCCGUCUGCUUGGUUCAGAGAAAAACAUCUACGACUUCAUUUCUGUCAUAAGCAUGUCAUUGCUCUUAAAAUUGAUGACAGUUUUCUCCACGUAUGUCCUGCCAUGUGGUCGAACAAUGCUUCCUUUCAAGAAACCAGAAAGAAGGUUUCAGCUCGAAAAGCAGUGAAUGAUACAGCUGAAAGAGCGGUCAAGUUGAUGCAAGAGUUUCAUGGUGUAAUCUCGGUUGAGGAAGAACAAAAACUAUUUUUGUUACGUUGCGUACAAGAACACCGAAAGAUUUAUCCUGACUGCAGAAAACAAACUCUGAAACGAAAAUUUAGAGACUAAUGUUUUUACAUGUUAAAUAGUGAAUAAACACGAUUUGGGCAA